UUCUUUGUUGUAAAUGAAUCUUAUUCUAUUGUAAUCUUUCUUGAGAGUAGAUGAUAGCUAGAUGAAUGUUGAUUGCUUGCUCGGCUCCCCUUCCUUCUCCUUUUCUAUUGUUGUAGGGAAUGGAGUAAGGUAGCUUAACUCGAACGGAAUGACCGAGUCAAAGCGGUUUUUCUGCUUCUAUACUUUGACUGUCUUCGCCCCUCUCCUUAUCAAUAUCAAUCGCAGCUCCUUUGUUCGUCUCCUCUUAUGAAUACAUACCUCUUUAACUCCUCCAAAUUGAACUAUUACCUCUUGACCUCCCAUAAUGAAUAGUGAAAUGUGCUAUUGCGUAACUACCCCUAUGGCAAAAAACACUUCUUGAAACAAGCUGUAGUUACUUGUCUGCUUACUUCAGCUUCUGCCCUG
rnacentral:lncRNA from 1 species